rnacentral:misc_RNA from 1 species
GAAAGAUCGGAGGCCUUAUGUCGACCUUAAUCAAGGGGUUUACCAUCAACUAGAGGCGUAUGAACAGAAGAUGUUCGGAUCACUGGAGAACCAGCCUGCAUUUGGCAUGCCGGUCUUUUCUUCUCCUGUGCUGCCAUCAUUGAGCUUUAACUACCCAAAGCCUAGUGAUUCAGUUCAAAUUCCAGCCUUCAACUUUUCUGGUGCUACAUCAAUUCCUCCCCAGGAAUUC